GGAUGAACGCUGGCGGCGUGCCUAAUACAUGCAAGUCGAGCGAACAGAUGAGGAGCUUGCUCCUCUGACGUUAGCGGCGGACGGGUGAGUAACACGUGGAUAACCUACCUAUAAGACUGGGAUAACUUCGGGAAACCGGAGCUAAUACCGGAUAAUAUAUUGAACCGCAUGGUUCAAUAGUGAAAGACGGUUUUGCGGUCACUUAUAGAUGGAUCCGCGCCGCAUUAGCUAGUUGGUAAGGUAACGGCUUACCAAGGCAACGAUGCGUAGCCGACCUGAGAGGGUGAUCGGCCACACUGGAACUGAGACACGGUCCAGACUCCUACGGGAGGCAGCAGUAGGGAAUCUUCCGCAAUGGGCGAAAGCCUGACGGAGCAACGCCGCGUGAGUGAUGAAGGUCUUCGGAUCGUAAAACUCUGUUAUUAGGGAAGAACAAAUGUGUAAGUAACUAUGCACGUCUUGACGGUACCUAAUCAGAAAGCCACGGCUAACUACGUG
rnacentral:rRNA from 1 species